UGCCUUUGUGUUGCCCAUUCAUUUCACUUUUUUAGAUGAAUGUGGUGUCAAACAAGGCAUACAGUAACAUCUGCAUAAAUCUUGGAGGGGCACUUAACCAUGUGCCUUACUUGUAUGAUUUUUAAAUGCAUGGACAUUGCAGCAUACUAGAAAUAGAU
ensembl:snoRNA